rnacentral:rRNA from 1 species
UCCCAGGGAUUUCCCCGGGACCCGCGGUAAUACGGAGGGGGUUAGCGUUGUUCGGAAUUACUGGGCGUAAAGCGCGCGUAGGCGGACUGGAAAGUUGGGGGUGAAAUCCCAGGGCUCAACCCUGGAACUGCCUCCAAAACUAUCAGUCUAGAGUUCGAGAGAGGUGAGUGGAAUUCCGAGUGUAGAGGUGAAAUUCGUAGAUAUUCGGAGGAACACCAGUGGCGAAGGCGGCUCACUGGCUCGAUACUGACGCUGAGGUGCGAAAGUGUGGGGAGCAAACAGGAUUAGAUACCCUGGUAGUCCACACCGUAAACGAUGAAUGCCAGUCGUCGGGUAGCAUGCUAUUCGGUGACACACCUAACGGAUUAAGCAUUCCGCCUGGGGAGUACGGUCGCAAGAUUAAAACUCAAAGGAAUUGACGGGGGGCCCGCAUA